CAUGGGCUAGAACGAACUAAAUAGUUGAAUGACCCAAGAUUCCGAGUAAUCCCGAAGAAUUCUCGGGAAAUGACGUACUUCCGCUUACGUUGAGAUUCUCUUCCCUAAUCUGAGGAUUACAGGGCUCAAUCACUUUGUCCCAGUUCGUUGAGUAGAGUGGUAGUGACGCGAUUUUGCUCCGUUUAUUAAAAAGUGUUCAAAGCCAGAAAAUAAAGUGUGUGAGUUUAUCGUGUGCGGAAUAGAUUUGUGUGCUGAUAGAAAGAUAAGGUUAUCAUCCGUACGAAAGCACGCUCGCUGGACACCGUUCGCUGACUGCGUCACUCGCCACAUCCUGGAGGACAGAUUUGCCCGACGCACGUUUUUCCGUCGGAAGGGAGUCGAUCCGCUACAACAUCGCUCCAUUGGAAGUGAUCUUCCGGUGGC